GACGAACGCUGGCGGCGUGCCUAACACAUGCAAGUCGAGCGGGGAUUUAAGUGGAAGUUCUUCGGAAUGGAGAUUUAAAUUCUAGCGGCGGACGGGUGAGUAACGCGUGAACAAUCUGUCCCGGACAGGGGGAUAACACUUGGAAACAGGUGCUAAUACCGCAUAAGACCAUGGCCUCGCAUGGGGCUGAGGUAAAAGGAGCAAUCCGGUUCGGGGUGAGUUCGCGUCCGAUUAGCUAGUUGGUGAGGUAACGGCCCACCAAGGCGACGAUCGGUAGCCGGCCUGAGAGGGUGAACGGCCACAUUGGAACUGAGAGACGGUCCAAACUCCUACGGGAGGCAGCAGUGGGGAAUAUUGGGCAAUGGGCGAAAGCCUGACCCAGCAACGCCGCGUGAGGGAAGAAGGUUUUCGGAUUGUAAACCUCUGUCCUAUGGGACGAAGGAAGUGACGGUACCAUAGGAGGAAGCCCCGGCUAACUACGUG
rnacentral:rRNA from 1 species